GGGCCCGUAGCUCAGCUAGGUAGAGCAAUCGGCUCUUAACCGAUGGGUCGAGGGUUCGAAAGAUUCUAAUUGAAUCCGAACAUCCCUCCGGGCCCG
rnacentral:tRNA from 1 species